GGGUCGUUAGCUCAGUUGGUCAGAGCGUCUGGUUUACACCCAGAAGGUCGGGGGUUCGAGCCCCUCACGACCCACCA
rnacentral:tRNA from 2 species